GAUGAACGCUGGCGGCGUGCCUAAUACGUGCAAGUCGAGCGAACAGACGAGGAGCUUACUCCUCUGACGUUAGCGGCGGACGGGUGAGUAACACGUGGAUAACCUACCUAUAAGACUGGGAUAACUUCGGGAAACCGGAGCUAAUACCGGAUAACAUGUUGAACCGCAUGGUUCAACAGUGAAAGACGGUCUUGCUGUCACUUAUAGAUGGAUCCGCGUCGCAUUAGCUAGUUGGUAAGGUAACGGCUUACCAAGGCAACGAUGCGUAGCCGACCUGAGAGGGUGAUCGGCCACACUGGAACUGAGACACGGUCCAGACUCCUACGGGAGGCAGCAGUAGGGAAUCUUCCGCAAUGGGCGAAAGCCUGACGGAGCAACGCCGCGUGAGUGAAGAAGGUCUUCGGAUCGUAAAACUCUGUUAUUAGGGAAGAACAAAUGUGUAAGUAACUAUGCACGUCUUGACGGUACCUAAUCAGAAAGCCACGGCUAACUACGUG
rnacentral:rRNA from 1 species